ACAGCAGCCUGCCUUAUUACAGUUUAAAAGGUUGGCCACACCUGUGGCUCCAUACGCCAAGCCUCCAGACCCAGUUGUCCAGGAAAACCUGGAGUAGACGGGUGGAGGACAAGGAGAAAAGGGAAGCAGGAUGUAGUUAGGGUAGUGUGUGAGUGGGCUGUGGGCCUCAAGGUUUCCAGCAGACCCACAAAAAAUUAAAACUGAAUUGGGCAUCUCCACCCUUGGAGAAGCAGCUCACGAAUAAUGAGCAUACUUAAGUCCCACCAACAGGGGUCGCCCUUAGACACUGGGCCUGAAGCUGGCAUCAGAAAAGGGAAAUUCCCAGGCCUGGAUCCGGAGGCCAGAUUUCCAGCUCUCAGAGCUGUUGAUUCCUGUCUUGUUGGACACAGAAGAGGCUGCCCAGCUGAAGAGAGACAUGUCCUCAGCUUUUCUGCUUCAGUAGAGGCAUGGUGUUAUUCAAGGUUUACGGUAUUGCACUAAAGAGGAUGAAAAGUAUGCAAGAACCACAAGAGAUCACUUUCCAUUGAGAUCUGCAAUUUACCGGAGAAACAAUUGCUCAUGUGGAGAUGAUUAGCGUCACAGGGCGUUUUAAGCGGAUACUCACAACACUUGAGCUCACCGCAACAGCAGCAGGAGGUGGCUAUGAAAUCAUUACAGUAGCACAGCAUGUACUACAGAUGCGAACUUCAGCCUCUCCAGUCUUGGGACUCCAGGACUUGCACUAUUGGCCCCUUGGUUCUCAGGCCUUCGGUCUCCAACUGAGAGUUACACCAUCAGUUUCCGCGGUUCUGAGGCUUUUGAACUUGGACUGGGGCACCCUACCGGCCCCACUGGGUCACCAGCGUGCAGACAGCCUGUGGUGGAACUUCUCAGCCUCCAUAAUUGUGUGAGCCAAUCCCCCUCAUAAAUCCCCUCUCGUGUAUCUAUACCCAGUCAUGCAUCACUUCAUGAGGGGAAUACGUUCUGGGAAAUGCAUUGUUAGGCCAUUUCAUCAUUGUGUGGAUAUCAUAGCAUGCGUACUUACACAAGCCUAGAGGGUCCAGCCUACUACACACCUAGGCUAUAUGGUAUAGUCUAUUUCUCCUAAGCUACAAACCUGUACAGCACAUUACUGUACUGAAUACUGUAGGCAAUGUAUCUAAACAUAGAAGAGGUCCAGUAAAAUUAUAAUAUUAUAAUCUGGCUGGGUGCAGUGGCUCACGCCUGUAAUCCCAGCACUUUGGGAGGCUGAGGUGGGCAGAUCACUUGAGGUCUAGAGUUCAAGACCAGCCUGGCCAACAUGGCGAAACCCCAUCUCUACUAAAAAUACAAAAGAAUUAGCUGGGCCUGGUGGGGUGUGCCUGUAAUCUCAGCUACUCUGGAGGCUGAGGCAGAAGAAUCGCUUGAAUCCGGAAGGCAGAGGUUGCGGUGAGCCGAGAUUGCACCACUGCACUCCAGCCUGGGAGACAGAGUGAGACUCCAUCUCAAAAAGAAAAUAAUAAUAAUAAUAAUAAUAAUAAUAAUAAUAAUAAUAAUAUAAUCUUUUGGGACCACUACUGUGGUUCAUCAUUGAUUAAAACAUCAUUAUGAGGCACAUGACUGUAUAUAUAAGUAUUUUAUAUACAUGUUUAAUUUUCUGUCUCUCCGGAGAAUCCUAAUACUUCCUGGACUGCCUAAAAUGAAUUAAAUGUAUGAAAUGAAGGAUUGCGCUAAUUUGGAUGUUGCAGACUGAUGGCCUGUAGACCACAGGACUGCUGAUGUGCAUGGUUUGGCCCAUGUGGUGUGUAUAUGUGUCACAGCAAUGUGACGGCCUCUCCAAGUCGCCACAUUUACUCAGUGUUGCCUCGCACCUGGCUCACCUCAUGUGUUUGCAAUGUAUACCCCUGUAAGUGCCAGACAGGUGAUCUCUGGACUGAAUCCAGCUUUUCCAUGGAGUUGUGGAAGGAAGAGGCCGCUGCUCUAUAGCAGUUCAGCAAUGGGAGAAGUGAACACAGCAUGCUGCUGAUCUCUGUACAGCUUCGGGGAGUGCAGGACUUGGAGGUUGGCUGACUCAGCGGUGGGAGUUUUUAGGGAUUAAAAAACCUUUAGAAGCAUGGUCCCUGAGGGAGGCUGUUGCUGAUUGGCUGGCCUUCAGAAGCAUGUGUACUGACAGAAGGAAGUUGUCACCAAAGGACUGGGGUAGCUUUAAAAGCAGUUCUCACUUAUUACUAGGACAAAGGAACAGUAAGUCUUUUCCUUUCUAGGAACUACUUCUAAAAACUAUUUCUAGAGCAAUUCAUUCUCAGUAGGAUGCCUUACUUAUUUAAAUAUAGCAUGAAUCAGAUCAAAUCACUGGAAAGGCUUGUUGUCACAGCUCACUGCAGCCUUGACCUCCCAUGGCCAAGCAAUCCUCCUACCUCAGCCUCCCCAGUAGCUGGGACCACAGGCAUGCACCACCAUGCCCAACUAAUUUUUUUAUUUUUUGUAGAGACAGGGUCUCACUAGGUUCCUUAAAAUCCCAGGCUCAAGAGAUCCUCCCACCUCAGGAGUGUCAGAGCAUUCAAACCACAGCGACUCCAUCUUGAACAGGGGCUGGGUAAAAUAAGGCUGAGACCUGCUGGGCUACAUUCUCAAGAGGUUAAGCAUUCUUAGUCACAGGAUGAGAUAGAAGGUCGUCAAGACUGGUAUCACAAGAUAAAGGUCACAAAGACCCUGCUAAUAAAACAGGAUGUGGUAAAGAAGCCGAUCAAAACCCUCAAAACCAAGAUGGCGGUGAAAGUGACCUCUAGUCGUCCUCACUGCUCACUCCUCAUUUUAUGCUAAUUAUAAUGCAUUAGCAUGCUGAAAGCCACUCCCACCAGCACCAAUACAGUUUACAAAUGCCAUGGCAACAUCGGAAAGUCAUCCUACAUAGUCUAAAAGGGGGAGAAACCCUCAGUUCCAGGAAUUGCCUACCCUUUCCCAGAAAACUCAUGAAUAAUCCACCCGUUGUUGAGCAUGCAAUGAUGAAAUAACCAUAAGCAUAUUCAGUCGAGCAGCCCAUGUCGCUGCUCUGCCUAUGGAGUAGUCAUUCUUUUGUUACCUUACUUCUCUAAUAAACUUGCUUUCACUUUACUCUAUGGAUUCACUCCGAAUUCUUAAUUGCACAAGAUUCAGUAACUGUCUCUUCUUGGGUUCUGGAUCAGGAUCCCUUUCCAGUAACAAAAGUGCUGGGAUUACAAGCAUGAGCCACUGCACCCAGCCUUAGAAUAUGCAUUUCUAACGAGUUUCCAGAUGAUGCUGCUGGUCUAAUGACCACACUCUGAGAACCACUAGAAUCCAGCAUGAUAGGAUUGGUACUUAAUUAUUGGUUAAGAAAAUACUUACAAAAAUAGGAUCCUAAUGAGUACAAAAAUGCUGUAAAAUGAAUUUAUAGAAUGGCUUAUUAAUCAUUUACAUUAGAAAAGAACCAUCAAUAUGUAGGUGAAAUAUAUUUAUUUCAUUUACAGAUAAUGGUUAGAAAGUAUAAAUUCCAGGAUAUAUUGCAGUAAUUCUUCCUCUCUUCUCCUCCUCUCCUUUUCCCUACCACCUGCCUACUUCCCAGAAAUUUGUGGCCCACUCCAUCUUGGGUAAUCUCAUACCAGAUAUUUGUCAAGGAAUCUCCUAGUUUUGUGAUUCUGUAUUUGUUGCAGGUCCUGCCUGGGCACAUGAACUCUUCUAGUCAAAGUAUAAGCCACGUCAAUAAGCUGAUGUAAUUUGCAAAUACAGGAGGCAAGCAAGUUUAUAAAACAAUUGGUUUGUAGUGUUUGUGUUUCUGUAUGUCUCUGUGUGUGUGAGAAAGACUGACUUGUGAAAUUACCCUAAAAGUGUUCCCCUUUACAUCAGUUGAAGUGUUGGAUACUGUCAGGCCAUUCUAGUUCUUUUAAAAUAAACCAUUUUGCUGGAGAAAU
rnacentral:lncRNA from 10 species